rnacentral:lncRNA from 1 species
AAAUUCACACAUGGAGGACAAAAUUAAAAUAUAUAAUAUAGAAGUGCAGAGAAGGAAAUUUACAGCUUGCUUUCCCAAUAUAAAAAUUUUCAUACUGCAAGAAGACACAAGAAUAAUGAAUUAGAUGCUGAGGCCUGGACACUGACUUCAAGGCCACAGGCUGAACUGGACUCCUGGAGGAGAGUCGCUUUCAUCAUUUCUCUCACUGGUAUUGACAGAACUUUGGAACAAGUGAAGGAAGUUUCUGAUGAGGACUAAAG